rnacentral:rRNA from 1 species
GGACGAACGCUGGCGGCGUGCCUAAUACAUGCAAGUGGAACGCAUGAUUGAUACCGUAGCUUGCUACACCAUUAAUCAUGAGUCGCGAACGGGUGAGUAACGCGUAGGUAACCUGCCUACUAGCGGGGGAUAACUAUUGGAAACGAUAGCUAAUACCGCAUAAGAGUUUUUAACACAUGUUAGAAAUUUAAAAGGAGCAAAUGCUUCACUAGUAGAUGGACCUGCGUUGUAUUAGCUAGUUGGUAAGGUAACGGCUUACCAAGGCGACGAUACAUAGCCGACCUGAGAGGGUGAUCGGCCACACUGGGACUGAGACACGGCCCAGACUCCUACGGGAGGCAGCAGUAGGGAAUCUUCGGCAAUGGGGGGAACCCUGACCGGGCAACGCCGCGUGAGUGAAGAAGGUUUUCGGAUCGUAAAGCUCUGUUGUAAGAGAAGAACGUUGAGUAGAGUGGAAAGUUACUCAAGUGACGGUAUCUUACCAGAAAGGGACGGCUAACUACGUGCCAGCAGCCGC